rnacentral:lncRNA from 1 species
AAGAUGUUGAGUGUUUAGCUGUUUUCCAGUGGAAGAGGAGCUACGUUGAUAGAAUAGGUCUUUGUUCGUGUUUCUUUAUGGAGUUGAGCAAAAACAACAUGAAAAGAAACAGUAAAGUGAGGGAACAGAACGAUGACAUCCUUCGGCUAUCAUGCUGUGUUCUCUUCAUCACACAAUUUACUACGGAGCACUACCGGAAAGUUCUCAGGAGAAGAGUGACAAAAUGAGAUCUGAAGGAAGAUAUACCGAGAAAGGUGGUGGAGAAGAAGUGAGUGCCGGAACGUGUGAGACUCUGGCAGCUUUGUUCAGAGUUGCUCAAGUGAUACUCUGCACACAAGUCCUUCAGGGCCUGGGGGAGAUGGAGAUGCGAAGCUUGAUUUGUCCUGGGGACAGGGGCUCACUGAAGACGGUUUCCUAAAUUAGUGAAAAAGAGAGAACAGUACAAAGGCUUCACACCUUUUCAGUACCAGGGACCAGUUUGCUGAAAGACAAUUUUUCUCACAGACCAACUGCAGAACAGGUUUGAGAGGCUCAGGCUGAUUCAAACACAUUACAUUUAUUCUGUACUUUAUUUAUAUUAUUAUUUCAUUUUUGUAUAUAGUGAAAUAACUAUACAAUUCACCAUAACGGGAAUCAGCGAGAUCCUUUAACUCGUCUGCCUACAACUAGAUGGUCUCUUAUGGGAGUGGUGGUAUAUAGUGACACACAAAGUGUGUGGCUUGUGUCCAAUCUGUUCUGUUUUGGGUCCAAGCUAAUCUUGUUUUGGUUGCUGUCACUGCAGAAAACCCUGCUUCACAAAGACCAGCUGUUGGAAGUGGAAGGAGGCUUUUCGGUCCUUUUGUGUCAGUCUCAAGACACUCCACAUUGACUUUAAUCCAAAAUGUAUGGAGAUUUAAAGUUGCCUCAAACAUUGAAGGCCCCAUGCAUUCACCGUCUCAAGCAGUUGAUCUUCUUCUAUCACAGACAAAGUCAAUUCACCGGGCUUAUUCAUAAAUGGGUCGUAAAUUCACUCCUUCCCAGUUCAGGGGUCUUUUGUAGUUGGAAAGUAACGUUCAAACUUUUUUGAAAGCUGAGAUAGGUGACCAAGCACCAGCUGAGAGGAAGAUGGUCUUAGUUCAGUCUCUUUCAACAUCCCUGCUAAUGAUUGAAAUACAUCAAAAAUGCCAGUGUGCACCCAUUGCCCCUGUAAUUCCCAUUUGGCUUUGAAUACAGCUG